UCGAGCAGGAGCAGGGAACAAGGGUUUACCCUUUUGUUCUUGUAAAAACUCACCAAUUGACAAGGAAAAAUCAAUGUUAGAUAACUGCAUGUUAUAAAGUUUCGAUCAUCUAAGCAUCCCUAGUAAACUGGUGUGAAGGAAGAAGGUUCGAAUUCUAAGAAAUCGGAAGGAUCACAAGACCGAGGUAAAUCCUCGACUUAGGCGUAUGGACGGCUUGGAACGUGCACACUUGAUCUACGCCCGCCUCACGCUUCCGUCACAAAUUAUUUUGAAAUGGGUUAAGUUUUGGUCAUAUGUAUUUUAAGUCUAUGUAGUAUGUUGAUACCUUGUCGUUGGGUAAGAACUUAGUAGUUGUAGUCAUGUCGUGUCCAAUGUAAGCUUUGUCCGCUUUGGGAUUUGUCAAGAAUGUUAAACAUUGAAGUUUAUUGUGUAAAACAGGUGGUUAAUGGUUUUAAACGAA